UACGGAGGGGGCUAGCGUUGUUCGGAAUUACUGGGCGUAAAGCGCCACGUAGGCGGCUUUGGUAAGUUAGAGGUGAAAGCCCAGGGUAUACCCUGGAAUUGCCUUUAAGACUGCAUCGCUCGAAUUGUGGAGAGGUGAGUGGAAUUCCGAGUGUAGAGGUGAAAUUCGUAGAUAUCGGAAGAACACCGAGUGGCGAAGGCGACUCACUGGACACAUAUUGAGCGCGUGAG
rnacentral:rRNA from 1 species